rnacentral:tRNA from 1 species
AGCAACUUGACGCAGUGGAAGCGUGCAGGGCUCAUAGAGGCACCCUGAAGUCCCUGGAUCGAAACCAGGAGUUGCUA